GCUGGUGUAGCUCCGCCGGAUAGAGCGCCGGGCUUCUAACCCGAGGGCCGCAGGUUCGAGUCCUGCCGCCAGCACAA
rnacentral:tRNA from 1 species